rnacentral:rRNA from 1 species
UACGUAGGGUGCAAGCGUUGUCCGGAAUUAUUGGGCGUAAAGAGCUCGUAGGCGGUUUGUCGCGUCGAAUGUGAAAUCCCGGGGCUCAACCCCGGGUCUGCAUUCGAUACGGGCAGACUAGAGUUCGGUAGGGGAGUCUGGAAUUCCUGGUGUAGCGGUGGAAUGCGCAGAUAUCAGGAGGAACACCGGUGGCGAAGGCGGGUCUCUGGGCAGUAACUGACGCUGAGGAGCGAAAGCGUGGGGAGCGAACAGG